UACGAAGGGGGCUAGCGUUGUUCGGAAUUACUGGGCGUAAAGCGCGCGCAGGCGGCCGUUCAAGUCAGGGGUGAAAGCCCGGAGCUCAACUCCGGAAUUGCCUUUGAAACUGAUCGGCUUGAGUACGGUAGAGGUGAGUGGAAUUCCCAGUGUAGAGGUGAAAUUCGUAGAUAUUGGGAAGAACACCGGUGGCGAAGGCGGCUCACUGGACCGUUACUGACGCUCAGGCGCGACAGCGUGGGGAU
rnacentral:rRNA from 1 species